rnacentral:rRNA from 1 species
GGUUCGAUUAUGGCUCAGAUUGAACGCUGGCGGGAUGCUUACACAUGCAAGUCGAACGGCAGCACGGACUUCGGUCUGGUGGCGAGUGGCGAACGGGUGAGUAAUGUAUCGGAACGUGCCUAGUAGCGGGGGAUAACUACGCGAAAGCGUAGCUAAUACCGCAUUAAUGGCUCUUUCGGGGGAAAGCGGGGGACCUUCGGCCCCCACCAUUAGAGCGGCUGAUAUCGGAUUAGCUAGUUGGUGGGGUAACGGUCACCUCAUGACGAUCCGUAGCUGGUUUGAGAGGACGAAUUCAGCCACACUGGGACUGAGACACGGCUCAGACUCCUACGGAGUAAAGCAGGGUAAAUUUCCGGACAAUGCAAAACCCUGAUCCAGCCAUCCUGGCGUGUGCGAUGAAGGCCUUCGGGCUGUAAAAAGCACUUUUGGCAGGAAAGAAACGGCACGGGAUAAUAAUUCUCAAAAAGUAACCGACGGUACCUGCAGAAUAAGCACCGGCUAACUACGUGCCAGCAGCCGCAGUAAUAUUGUGGCAAGCGUUAAUCGGAAUUACUGGGCGCAAGCGUGCGCAGGCGGUUCGGAAAGAAAGAUGAACCCAGAGCUAACUUUGAACUGGGCAUUUUUAACUACCGAGCUAGGAGAGGUGUCAGAGGGAGGUGGAAUUCCGCGUGUAGCAGUGAAAUGCGUGUAGAUAUGCGGAGGAACACUGAUGGCGAAGGCAGCCUCUUGGGAUAACACUGACGCUCAUGCACGAAAGCGUGGGGAGCAAACAGGAUUAGAUACUCCUGGUGAAACUACCCAAAUGAUGUCAAUUAGCUGUCAGCCUUCGGCCUUGGUAGCGCAGUUAAUCGCGUGAAGUUGACCGCCUGGGAGUACGGUCGCAAGAUUAAAACUCAAAGCGCGAACGACGGGACCCGCACAAGCGGUGAUGAUGUGGAUUAAUUGAUGCAACGCGAAAAAACCUUACCUACCCUUGACAUGUCUGGAAUCCCGAAGAGAUUUGGGAGUGCUCGCAAGAGAACCGGAACACAGGUGCUGCAUGGCUGUCGUCAGCUCGUGUCGAGAUGUUGGGUUAAGUCCCGCAACGAGCGCAACCUUGUCAUUAGUUGCUACGAAAGGGCACUCUAAUGAGACUGCCGGUGACAAACCGGAGGAAGGUGGGGGAUGACGUCAAGUCUUCAUGGCCCUUGUGGUAGGGCUUCACACGUCAUACAAUGGUCGGGACAGAGGGUCGCCAACCCGCGAGGGGAGCCAAUCCCCAGAAACCCGAUCGUAGUCCGGAUCGCAAGCCUGUACCCUCGACUGUGUGAAGUCGGAAUCGCUAGUAAUCGCGGAUCAGCAUGUCGCGGUGAAUACGUUCCCGGUCUUGUACACACCGCCCGUCACACCAUGGGAGUGGGUUUUACCAGAAGUAGUUAGCCCAACCGCAAGGAGGGCGAUUACCACGGGUAGGAUUCAUGACUGGGGUGAAGUCGCACAAGGUAA